rnacentral:lncRNA from 1 species
CCAUGUGUGCUAAGGACUGCUCCUGCACAGGACACACGCGCAGAGUCCUCUCUUUGAACUCUCAGGGCCCAGUGUGCUUUGGGACUUGGAACGUGGUUUCUAGAAAGGCAAAGCUGUCCUCUUCAUUAUAACACGGAUGUUUGUGCAGUGGGAUGAGUAGGCCUGCGGGUAAGGGGGCUCACACCAGUAAAGAACGCUCCGUCUCAUAGCACUGCAGUGUUGUGAUCCUGAACCUGUCUUGUCCCACUCUGCUGACCCCACAGCAUGCAGCCAACACCAUGGUGUGUCCCUGAACAAAGGCAGUGUCAGAGGCUGUUUUGCCACACCCUGUGAUGUGCUUGUUGACUCUGUUUCUGUGUGAGUUGUGUGAGAAUUUCAGCCCUCAAGGACCAACCAAGUCCAGGGAAAGGCCAAAGAGAAUCAAUAUCCACCAACCUAUUCAUCUAUCUAUUCCUCUACCCAUUCAUUUAUCCAUCCUUCCAUCUGCCCAUCCAUCUAUCUGUCCAUCCAUCUAGUCACCCAUCCAUCUGUCUAUCUAUCAACCUACAUCUGUCCAUCUCUGUUUCAUCUAUCUAUCUAACCACUUGUUCAUUCAUCCAUCCAUCUACCAUCCAUCCACCCACCUACUCAUAUGUCUAUCCGUCUAUUCAUUGAUCCACCAACAAUUCAUCCAUUGAUUUCCAUGUUUGUCUAAGUAUUUACUACGCCCCCCCCCCAAUGCAGAUUUUGUCUGAAGAGGGUACACAUUGCUGGUUUCAUCCAUGCAUCUGGCCAAUAUUCAAAGCCUACCUACCUUCAGCCAGCACAUGGUGGUGAGGAAAGACAGACCCUACACUUAGGGACUUGCUACCCAGCACAGGAGAGAGGCGACACAGAAGGAACCAGAUAAAGACAUAAAAGGCAGAACCAAGAGUUGUGAGAGCCACAGAGCAGAUAGUAUAGAAGCUAGCAGCUGGAUUCUUUAAAGGUGGGUCAGGGUAAGGGAGCCCUGGAUGGCUGGGCACAUUACAAAGUAAAAAGGCCAGUCCUUCCUCUGUAUCUCCAGGAAUACUAAGAUAUUGACAGACAGCCAAACCAAAGCACAUGUCUGCCAUUGCAAGUGCAAGUCCCAAGCCAGGCACAAUGGUGGCUGCCUGCCUUUAAUCCAAGCACUUGGGAGGCAGAGGCAGGCAGACUUUUGAGUUUAAGGACAGCAUCAUGGUCUGCAGAGCAAAUCCCAGGACUGACAGAGCUACACAGAGAAGCCCUGUCUCGAAAAGCAAAGGGAAAAAGAAAGGAGCAGGAGGAAGAGGAGGAGGAGGAGGAAGAGGAGGAGGAGAAGGAAGAGGAAGAGAACAUACAGCUUCGAUGCAGAACUGUCAGGCCUGAUGGGAACAAAGAAACCUUUAGUGUGAAAGAAACAAGGAGCCAGAAAGAGGAGGGCUUUGGGUUGGGAAAAGGAGGACAGGCAGGAAGGGCAGGAGCUUCCACCUGCUGCGGCGGGUCCAGCAGGAAGAAGCCCAUGAAGGUGAAGCAGAGCUGCUGCCGCAGGGCUUGAUCAGAAACCACAGAGGACCACAGAGCCCCAGGCACAGCCAUCUCUGCCAAAGCUCUGUCCUAAGGUCAGAGUCCUGGACAGAUAUCAAGACCAUCUCCUGGGCCGCCACUAUCUGUCUUUGAAAUGGGAAAAAGCCUAAAACACUCAGCUAAACAUCUCGUCUAGAUUUCUUUCUCCAGAGGCUGGGUACCUCAAGAUUUUCGGGGACUAGCUAGCAGUGGCCACGGUGUGUGUAUAUCCCACCCACACCACAUCUGGCUGAAGUUCUCCUGCUGGAGAAUUCAUAGCCUGAAUUCAUAUCUGGAGAUGGGGCCUUGGGGAAUUAAGGUUGGAUGAGGUCAUGAGGAUCUGAUCCCCCAUCCCGCGAUGGCAUUAAUGGCUUUAUAAGAAGAGGAAGAAAGGCCUGAGUUAUCACUCUGGCUUGUCUUCCCUUGGGGCGCCUCUGCCGUAUUAGGAUUCUGUGUGAGGAUGGGUCACAGGUCUGCUCUGCUCUUGGACUGCCCAGAAUCAAGUGAACCUCCUCUAUUCUUUCCAUUUACUCAGCCUCAGGUAUUUUGUUAU